rnacentral:rRNA from 1 species
CGUGUAGGCGGCUUGGUAAGUCGGACGUGAAAUCCCGGGGCUCAACCCCGGAACUGCGCUCGAAACUGCCUCGCUAGAGUCCCGGAGAGGAGGGCGGAAUUCCCGGUGUAGAGGUGAAAUUCGUAGAUAUCGGGAGGAACACCAGCGGCGAAGGCGGCCCUCUGGACGGUGACUGACGCUCAGACGCGAAAGCGUGGGGAGCAAACAGGAUUAGAUACCCUGGUAGUCC